rnacentral:rRNA from 1 species
UACGAAGGGUGCUAGCGUUGUUCGGAAUUACUGGGCGUAAAGCGCGCGUAGGCGGCGAUGCAAGUCAGAGGUGAAAUCCCCAGGCUUAACCUGGGAAUUGCCUUUGAAACUGCAUUGCUUGAGUGUCGGAGGGGAUAGCGGAAUUCCUAAUGUAGAGGUGAAAUUCGUAGAUAUUAGGAGGAACACCGGUGGCGAAGGCGGCUAUCUGGACGACAACUGACGCUGAGGCGCGAAAGCGUGGGGAUCAAACAGG